UACGUAGGGACCGAGCGUUGUCCGGAAUCAUUGGGCGUAAAGAGCGUGUAGGCGGCCAUUUAAGUCCUGCGUGAAAUCCUGCGGCUCAACCGCAGGCGGUCGUGGGAAACUGGAUGGCUAGAGUGCGGGAGAGGAGAGUGGAAUUCCAGGUGUAGCGGUGAAAUGCGUAGAUAUCUGGAGGAACACCGGUGGCGAAGGCGGCGUCCUGGACCAACACUGACACUGAUGAGCGAAAGCCAGGGGAGCAAACGGG
rnacentral:rRNA from 1 species